CGCGCAGCGGCUCCGGCGCGGGAGGGCGGUAGCGCCGCUCGCGCAGCGGUGGGGCAGCCCGCGCGGAGCGGCUGCUCUCCGGGUUGUCCCGAGCCAGGCAGAUAGACAAGAAAUGCUGUUACGGUGCGCUUAGGGCCAUGCCGCGCCUGAGCGAGGUUUGCACCUUCUGCAGCACAGAAGGCAUCAGGGUGGAUUGCACCAACGGCGCAAGCGAGAGCAUUUACGAAUGAAGGUGGUUUCUUAGGUGCAUCUUGGCUUAUGAUUUACCUAGGAAAGGCACGAGAAGAAUUUUUGUUUUGUGGCUGAUGCAGCAACAAGACGUAGCCCGUGAGACAGUGGAAGGCAAUCUCAUUUGAAGCCUCUGGGCAUUAGAGGCAUUUUUCGAGACACGAUUGAUGUCACGGACGGACAACAGUACUAGUGGAAGCACUGAGACUUGGGAUCUUGUCUAUCUCACUGCAGUAAAUGGGAGUAAAUGGGAUUUUCCAUUUCUGUCAGUGGGAGUGCGACUGGCUCCUCCGUGCCCCAAACUAUCAGCCUGGAUGUUCCUGCUGCGGUUUUCUGGCGGUGCUGCAGAUCAGAUGGCCUCUGAAGCUAAUCCAGCUGCAGCAGGGGAGGUCUCCUGCUGCCUUUGCGUGAUUUCCUGCUCACUGGGAUGGACCAGUUUUGAAGUUGGAGCAGGUGAUCUUUGAAAAUCAGCCAGCUCUCCUGGACCUCCCUCUCUCCAGGGCGUGUUCUGUGGGAUUCUCCUGAGCAGAUCCCUGAAGAGGCCAGAGUCUACUCUCCUGACGUCCAGGGCUGUGAUCCUACUUUUUGCCUUGUGCCCUCCUCUCAUGACCCUACACUCCAUCAUCUCAUGGUCACUGCAGCCAAAGCUGCCCCGACCUUUACUUCCGUGAUGAGUUCUUCCUUGUUUGUAAGUAUGAGUCUAGCAGAGCACCUCCCCUUGUCAGCGCCUAGAUCACUUGUGUCAGGAAGUUAUCAUCCUUGCACUCCAGAAACCUCCUGGAUUGCUUGUACCCAGCUGUGCUGUCCCUCCAGCAGAUAUCAGGCUGCUUAAAGCCCCCCUUGAGGACCAGGGCCUGUGAACGUGAGGCUUCCUCCAGUUGCCUGAAGACCUCAUCUACUUCUUCCUGAUCAGAUGCGCAAUAGCAGACAUCCACCACAUGUCACCCACAUUGGUCUGCCCACUAAUCCUGACCCAUGAGGUCUCAGCUGGCCCCUCAUUCACCCCCAGGCAGAGCUCCAGGUGUUCCUGCUGCUCUCUCACAUAACGGGCAGCUCCCCCUCUCCAUCAUCCUGGCCUGUCCUUCCUAAAGAGCCUCUACCCAUCUGUCACAGCACACCCGUCAUGUGAGCUGUUCCACUAUGUCUCCAUGAUCCCAAUGAGAUCGUCGCUUUGUUACUCCACACAGACUGCACACAGGAUGAAAUAGUUCAUUACUAGAUCAUUCACAUUUUAACCUCAAUUUAAUUCCCAGAAAUCUUUGGAUGAAUAAUAGAGUUAAGCAGGUGUCAGAAAAUAUCUUUGUGGCUGCAGAAUCCCUGCUCUGGGUUACAGAGUAGGAGGAUAGUUGCCACUGUGACCACUGGAAGGCAAAGUGAGUGUCAGGGUGCUGCGUGGGCCAGCUGCUCCCACAGGGAAGGGGCAUUGGGAGCCUGAUGCAAAGAAAGGCCAGCCGGGCGGGGGUCUCGCUGGCUCCCAGCCCCAAGCGAGGCGAGCGGGGCAGAUCUGCUCACCAGGUUCAGCCAAGAGUCCAGAUCAGGUUUUGCACUUUUGUAAGUGGGAGGAGCAAAGAAAGGAACUACAGAAUUUACAAGUUUUAAUGAAUUUCUGCUCUUCUGUGGCUACUAUGAGUCACUUUGUAUUUAUUUCAUCUGCAUAUUCUUUUUAUAUGUGAAGUUUGGUUAUGUUGCCUCCUGAGUGGAUUUACUACUUCUUUGACCCUCUUUUUAGGAACUGGAAAACUGAGAGCAGAAAUAGCUUGAUUAAUGCUCAGGAGCUUACAGAACUUGCUUAAACUGAGAGAUGCAUACAAUAUGAAAAUAUUUUACAGAUAAUACAAGACAGACAUUCUUUCUUUUUAUUAUUAUAUAUAUAAUAUAUAUUUGUACCUAAAAGUGACAAUUUCACCAUACUUGAGAGUUUUUUUAAUUUGCACACUGGUCAAUUAAUUUUUGUGAUCAUUAAUUUUUAGCAUUCAUUACAAAAUAAUGAGAAACUCUUAAAAACUAUACUUGUAUAUGGUACAAUAGAAAAACAAAUGCUAGUUUCUGAAGCACAAAGAAUAACAUUGCAAAAGAGAAACAAGAGUGCAACAUGGACAUUUCUGUAUUUUUAAAAUAUGUUUUCAUAGUGAAAUCGCUGUAUGAUAGACAUGAGCUUAAAUUAAACUGGUGUCAGUGAGUGGAACGUCCACUGAAAUUGCACAUGAGGAAUUAGUCAGAUCUUUGGUUUCUUGAUCCUAACUAUGUUUUGAGAUACAUAGUCCAUCUUCCCCUUGGCUUUAUAAACAGCUGAAGGUAAUUAUUCUUAGCUUCCAAUACAUAAUGUCUUAGUCAAAAUUAUGGAUAAGCAGAAGAGUCUCUAUAUGAAUUACAGUGACUUUUAUGUUUUACCGUUUAUUUCUAUGUGUACAUUUAGGUUCAUAUUUACUACAGACUAGCAAGUCAGUAAAGGUAUGCUGGUGUAAAUAAUUGGCCUUUAAUCUCUUUUGAAGUCAGGGUACAUAUUUAAGACUAAUAAUUCCUCUUCUCUCUGCUGUUUUAUGUCUAGAUGAAAUGGUGCAGGGAUACAGUGCAGUUGAAAUAAUCUGCAAUAAAGUGAUUUUCUCCUAAAUUUUAGAAACAGUAUUUAAAAUUGGUGAGUCCUUAUACUUUGUAUAUUUAUUUCCGUAUCUCCAAAGUGAAUGCAAAAUACUAAUAUUCUACUAAUGUAGCAUGUCUCAACCCUUUUACAAAUAGUAAAUGCACCAGCCUUUACUAUGCACCAAGAGCAAGGCAGGAGAGAGCCAGAAUUAAAUUUCUAAACUGUAACAUGUAUGUAUAAUAAUGAUUAUAUUUUACAGUAAAAGAUUCCAUUAACCUAUUUGUUGUUUGAAACGUUGAGCAGGACCUGAGGCACGCUGAGCACCUGAAACAACAAUUUAGACUCACCCAUUGCAUCCAGAAAUCCUGAGUAUUUGUAAUCUGAUGGGUGUAUUGAUAUUGAUAUCCCAGGAGACUGUUAGCUGUGAAAAGCUAUUCAUUUACUGUUACUGCAGUACAAGGAGACCCGCUAGCUUUGCUGAAUUACAAGGAUAGUCACGCUGUGGCAGCAGUUUCAUUGACAUCGCAAGGGUUGUGCCCCCUUGUGCCAGUAGAAGUUUUGGCCCACACUUUUUUAACUUGGGCACAUCAGCAUCAGCUGGUGGGACUGCUCAACAAGAACAAAUUAAAUGACACUUGGCAAGAAAAUAUCUGUGUUUGUCACCAGAACAAUGUGUUGCUUAUUACAAUGGACAAACAAAAGUGAUGGAAUUCUGAUUUUAGGUCCAUGUGGUCUGACAGCCUGUAUAAUAGUGCUUGAAUUCAUUUUAAAAUAGAAUAAACCAGUAUUCCUAUCACGAAUCUAUCCAAUUCAUGGUUUUAAAAGUGACCAUUAAUGCCAUAGUAUUUAGAAGGAAUGCUAUGUCACUUGAUACAGCAACAGUACACUUUCAUAUAGGGUUCUGCUUUCUCGCACAUACAAAACAUACCAGUACUGUCUUUCUGGAUAGAUGUCCACAUAUGUUGCCCACAGUCUUUAAUUCAAAUACCACCAUUGUGUAUUUAUGGCUAAAAGAAAAGCACUGUUAAAAGAUGUAGACUCCUCACACUUAAGGAGGUUUUCAGCUUAAUGUGAUAGAGUUUAUCCUUUGUUUACUGAACUCUUUAAUACUUAAUAUAAUCUUUUUGUGUAAACAAUGUACUUGUGAGCCUUAAGAUUUUUACCUUAGCAGACAUGUCUGAAUAAUUGUUGUUCUUUCCAGUGAUUAAUCCUUUGAAUUUUGUUACUACUUUAAAAUUCACUGUAUAAAUAUAAUGUGCUGUAAAAUAUAGAAGUAAAAAACUCUAUACUGCAUUUUAGGUUAAAACUUUAAGAUCAAAAAAACAAGAAAAGCCAGAGUUAAUAUCCUUAACAGUUAUUCCCCCUUUGUAUAACAGUAGGUCUUUUACUACUGAAACACUGUAUGUACAUUAAAUGCAGUAUCCCACAGUGCUGUUAUCAUGUCUGGUGCGUGGCUUAGCAGAAAAUGGAAUUUCUCUUUCCACUGUCGGUGAAUGAGCUGUGCUUAGUGCUCUGGAGUUGUUUUAUGGAACACUUAACUGUAACACGUUGUGCAGUGGCAACUGCUACAGGAACCAUAAUUCUGACUUCUCUAAAAUUUCAGUCUUGAUCAUAUAAUUCUGCCACAGUCUUAGGCAUUUCAGUCUUGGUCAUACAAUACUGAAACAAAGCACAUUUUUGUAUACAGUUUCCCUAAUGACAAAGAGAAAAUUGAAACUGUCUUGGUAGCUCUAGGAAGCUACCAGGAAAUAAAGCUGCAGCCUAUAUUACGUUGAA